UACGUAGGGGGCAAGCGUUAUCCGGAAUUACUGGGCGUAAAGCGCACGCAGGCGGUUCGCCAAGUUUGGAGUGACAGUUGUCGGCUCAACCGACAAAGGACUUCAAAAACUGGUGAACUUGAGGACGAGAGAGGAACAUGGAACUCCAGGUGUAGUAGUGAAAUGCGUAGAUAUCUGGAAGAACACCAAUGGCGAAGGCAAUGUUCUGGCUCGUUUCUGACGCUCAGGUGCGAAAGCCAGGGGAGCGAACGGG
rnacentral:rRNA from 2 species